GUGCUUGCUUACACAGCAUGUUUAUUAAAAUUAGAAUGAUACAGAGAAGAUUAGCAUGGGCCCAGCAUAGGAAUGACAUGAAAAUUCUUGAAGAAUUCCGUAUUUUU
ensembl:snRNA U6 U6 spliceosomal RNA